GAUGAAGAACGUAGCGAAAUGCGAUACGUAAUGUGAAUUGCAAAUUCAGUGAAUCAUCGAGUCUUUGAACGCACAUUGCGCCCCCUGGUAUUCCGGGGGGCAUGCCUGUCCGAGCGUCAUUGCUGCCCUCAAGCACGGCUUGUGUGUUGGGCCCCGUCCUCCGAUCCCGGGGGACGGGCCCGAAAGGCAGCGGCGGCACCGCGUCCGGUCCUCGAGCGUAUGGGGCUUUGUCACCCGCUCUGUAAGCCCGGCCGGCGCUUGCCGAUCAACCCAAAUUUUUAUCCAGGUUGACCUCGGAUCAGGUAGGGAUACCCGCUGAACUUAAGCAUAUCAAUAAGCGGAGGA
rnacentral:misc_RNA from 1 species